UAGCUGUUCGUGUUAUUGAGAAGAUUGUUUGCUCUGCAAAGAAAUGCCCCUAUGAAGAAAUACCACAGGACCACUCAUGUUGAUGUUAAACACAUUUUGUGGAUACAGUUUCAGAGCAUCUGAGCAUCUGCUGGUAAAGUUAAUCCGGUUCUGUCUGUUGACUGGCCAUACAGCACAAAGAUCAGUCUGGAUAUUCAACAACCAGAGUGGGGUUAUUUGUUGAAAGACAAGUGGAUCGGGAUGUAAGCUGUGGCUGGAUGUGGGAUGCACAGAGUGACAAAACCUCCAUCAAAGGAGCUCCUGCCAGUGUGGAUCCUGCUGAUCUGAGGAAAGCCCUUUAUUACCUGAAUGCAGUAAAGCUUGUUUACUAGCAUGGAAAGUUCAGCUGUGGAAGCACUAUGGCGUCACCCAGUAUAUCCAGACAAAAGGGGAGAAGCUUGGCCAGUGUGACAGCAAGAUGCAAUUUACUGCUGGAAUGUCUACAAGAGUUUGUUUCAAGUCAGCCUGCAGGAAUAACAGUGUACCUGGUUUUCUUGCGUAUCAUAUUUACAAGAAAGGCAAAGGAAUUUCAUUCUUCGUGUGCAAGUAACUUAAAAUAUGAUUAUCUGAACCCUGACUGGAUUCCUGAUCUUCCCCAACAUCCUCUUUAUUAUGCCAUAUUCAAGACCUGAAUUCAAAGUAGUACCAGAUCUUGACAGUCAACCGACAAUGGCAGGAAAAAAAGUUUUUUUCAUGAACCUGCCUAAGAUAUUCCAUAAUUUUCUGUAACAUCAGUUUCAGGGUAAUUGAAAUACCGUAUGAUCAAUGGUACAAUCUCAAAAUGCCUGUGUUAGCUGCAUAAGCAUUGGAAGAUUACUUUUUUUUUUUAUCAUGCCCUGAAGUUUGUAACCACUUCCAUUUUGUUUUUUCAACAAUUCCAUCUACAAGCUUAAUGCAGAUUCUCCAGUGAAGUUAUUAACUUGUAAUUUUUUAUUAACAUAUUAAAAUCUUCUUUCACU
rnacentral:lncRNA from 7 species